rnacentral:lncRNA from 1 species
AGAAUAAAGAGCUCGAGAGCAGUGAAGGUCCUUGUCUAAGAUCACACGUAGUAAGUCUGCGGUGUGGCGAGACCCGAGUCUUAGGACCUCAGAACCUUCUAGAUGGGAAACUGAGGCACGGACAGGUUAAGCAACUGGCCCAGAGUUGCACAGCUGACAGAAGACAGCAGCAGUUUGGAGCGCAACCGGAAAAGACAAGUGGAUCUGAAUUCAGAUUCUACUUCUGGCACAUGCGAACCUCGGUAUUUUCAGGUGGACACACUGGCUGGGUUGCUGGGGGCAUUAAAAGGAGAUGAAAGACACGUGCUAAUGAUGGUGGGGCAGAAAGCCAGAGGAAGCUGGAUCUCUAUUGACCGCCAAGCUGUCAUUCCAACCCAGGACACCUGCCUCCAGAUUUUUUUUUCACGUGGGAGACAACGCUUUAUCUUUAUAAGCCAUCACUAAUUGGAUUUGUGUUUUAUGCAACCGAACCUAAUCCUGACACUGAAGUUCAGGCAGGGCUGCAUGUAGGAGAAAAAUCAGCCUAGAACCAAUGUCUGCAUCCUUGUUACCCAGUGUAACGAUAAAGAAGACACUAGUGUGGAACUCACGA